rnacentral:rRNA from 1 species
UACGAAGGGGGCUAGCGUUGCUCGGAAUCACUGGGCGUAAAGCGCACGUGGGCGGAUUGCUAAGUCAGGGGUGAAAUCCUGGAGCUCAACUCCAGAACUGCCUUUGAUACUGGCGACCUUGAGUCCGGGAGAGGUGAGUGGAACUGCGAGUGUAGAGGUGAAAUUCGUAGAUAUUCGCAAGAACACCAGUGGCGAAGGCGGCUCACUGGCCCGAUACUGACGCUGAGGCACGAAAGCGUGGGGAGCAAACAGG